AACGCACAUUGCGCCCACUGGUAUUCCGGUGGGCAUGCCUGUUCGAGCGUCAUUAUCCUCCCUCAAACCCCGGUUUGGUGUUGGACCCACGUUGUGAGUGAACAACUGGUCCCAAAGACAAUGACGGCGUCCGUGGGACCCUCGGUGCAACGAGCUUUCCGGAGCACGCGUCGAGCUUCAAGGUUCUUCCGGGCCGGUCUCCUUCUAUUUUACUUCUAAGGUUGACCUCGGAUCAGGUAGGAAUACCCGCUGAACUUAA
rnacentral:misc_RNA from 1 species